AUGGAGGAGAAUAGUUCUAUCAGUGAACACAUACUCAGAAUGUCUGGGUACCACAACCACUUGACUCAACUGGGAGUUAAUCUUCCUGAUGAUAGUGUCAUUGACAGAGUUCUUCAAUCACUGACACCAAGCUACAAAAGCUUCGUGAUGAACUAUAAUAUGCAAGGGAUGAACAAGACUAUUCUCGAGCUCUUCGCAAUGCUAAAGGCUAUGGAGGUAGAAAUCAAAAAGGAGCAUCAAGUGUUGAUGGUCAACAAGACCACUAGUUUCAAGAAAAAAGGCAAAGGGAAGAAGGGGGACUUCAAGAAGAACGGAAAAAAGGUUACUGCUCAAGAGAAGAAACCCAAGUGUGCACCUAAGCAUGAACCUGGGUGCUUCUACUACAAAGGGACUGGUCACUGGAAGUGGAACUGCCCCAAGUAUUUGGCGGAUAAGAAGGAUGGCAAAGUGAAAGGUAUAUUUGAUAUACAUGUUAUUGAUGUGUACUUAACUAAUGCUCGCAGUAGCGUCUGGGUAUUUGAUACUGGUUAUGUUCCUCAUGUUUGCAACUCGAAACAGGGGCUACGGAUUAAGCAAAGAUUGGCUAAGGACGAGGUGAUGAUGCGCGUGGGAAAUGGUUCCAAGGUCGAUGUGAUCGCCGUCGGCAUGCUACCUCUACAUCUACCAUCGGGAUUAGUUUUAGACCUGAAUAAUUGGUAUUUGGUGCCCGCGUUGAACAUGAACAUUAUAUCUGGAUCUUGUUUGAUGCGAGACGGUUAUUCAUUUAAAUCAGAG
rnacentral:rRNA from 1 species